GCCAGUGUGGUGUAGUGGUUUAAAUGUUGGACUACAACUCUGGAGAACAGGGUUCAAAUCCAUGUUCAGUCA